rnacentral:rRNA from 1 species
UCCUACGGGGGGCAGCAGUGAGGAAUAUUGGUCAAUGGUCGGGAGACUGAACCAGCCAAGCCGCGUGAGGGAUGAAGGUACAGAGUAUCGUAAACCUCUUUUGUCAGGGAACAAAGGCGGGGACGUGUCCCCGGAUGAGUGUACCUGAAGAAAAAGCAUCGGCUAACUCCGUGCCAGCAGCCGCGGUAAUACGGAGGAUGCGAGCGUUAUCCGGAUUUAUUGGGUUUAAAGGGUGCGCAGGCGGAGGUGCAAGUCAGCGGUCAAAUUGCGGGGCUCAACCCCGUACUGCCGUUGAAACUGCAUCC